UACGUAGGGGGCAAGCGUUGUCCGGAAUCACUGGGCGUAAAGGGCGCGUAGGCGGCUUGAUAAGGUUGCGGUGAAAGCCCGGGGCUCAACCCCGGGUCGGCCGUGGCAACUGUCGAGCUGGAGCACUGUAGAGGCAGGUGGAAUUCCGGGUGUAGCGGUGGAAUGCGUAGAGAUCCGGAAGAACACCGGUGGCGAAGGCGGCCUGCUGGGCAGUGGCUGACGCUGAGGCGCGACAGCGUGGGGAGCAAACAGG
rnacentral:rRNA from 1 species